CAUGCAAGUCGAACGAGGACAUAUCCUUCGGGAUAUAAGCCGAGUGGCACAAGGGUGAGCAAUGCAUAGAUUACCUACCUUUAGGAUAAGGACAACUUUGUGAAAACGGAGCUAAUACUUAAUAAUACAAAAGAAAAUAAUUUUCUUUUGUCAAAGGGAGGGUAGCAAUACCUUUCGCCUAGAGAGGGGUUUAUGUCCUAUCAGCUUGUUGGUGGGGUAAUAGCCUACCAAGGCGAAGACGGGUAGCCGGUUUAAGAGGAUGGUCGGCCACACUGGGACUGAGACACUGCCCAGACUUCUACGGAAGGCUGCAGUCGAGAAUCUUUCGCAAUGCCCGAAAGGGUGACGAAGCGACGCCGCGUGGGUGAAGAAGGCCUUCGGGUUGUAAAACCCUGUCAGGAGUUAUGAAAUGUAAGUGCGCUAAUAUCGUGCUUAUUUGACAAAGGCUCCAAAGGAAGCCACGGCUAACUCUGUGCCAGCAGCCGCGGUAAUACAGAGGUGGCGAGCGUUGUUCGGAAUUAUUGGGCGUAAAGAGCACGUAGGUGGGUUUACAAGUCAGAUGUGAAAGCCUUCUGUUCAACGGGAGAAUUGCAUCUGAAACUGCUAAUCUUGAGUAUAGGAGGGGAGAAUGGAACUUCUGGUGGAGCGGUGAAAUGCGUAGAUAUUAGAAGGAACGCCGGCGGCGAAAGCGAUUCUCUGGCCUAUUACUGACACUCAGAGUGCGAAAGCUAGGGGAGCAAACGGGAUUAGAUACCCCGGUAGUCCUAGCCGUAAACGAUGGGCACUAAGUAGAGGGGAUUACCUAUGUUCUCUCUGACGUAGCUAACGCAUUAAGUGCCCCGCCUGGGGAGUACGGCCGCAAGGCUAAAACUCAAAAGAAUUGACGGGGCUCGCACAAGCGGUGGAGCAUGUGGCUUAAUUCGAUGCAACGCGAAAAACCUUACCGGGGCUUGACAUGAUAGAAGUAGGAACCUGAAAGGGGGACGAACGGUAUCCAGUCCGUAGCUAUUACAGGUGUUGCAUGGCUGUCGUCAGCUCGUGUCGUGAGACGUUGGGUUAAGUCCCCUAACGAGCGAAACCCUUGUUUUUAGUUACCAGCGGGUUAUGCCGGGUACUCUAGAAAGACUGCCGUCGUCAAGACGGAGGAAGGUGGGGAUGACGUCAAGUCAUCAUGGCCCUUAUGCCCCGGGCUGCACACGUGCUACAAUGGUCGGUACAGACGGAAGCGAAGCCGAGAGGUGAAGCGAAUCCUAAAAAGCCGAUCUCAGUUCGGAUUGGAGGCUGAAAUUCGCCUCCAUGAAGUUGGAAUCGCUAGUAAUCGCGGAUCAGCAAUGUCGCGGUGAAUAUGUUCCCGAGCCUUGUACACACCGCCCGUCAAGCCACCCAAGCAGGAUGCACCCGAAAACAUUAUAUCUAACCAGGGCAACUUGGAGGUAAAUGUUGAAGGGGUGUUUUGUGAGGAGGACUAAGUCGUAACAAGGUAGUCGUAGGAGAACCUGCGGCUGGAUCACCUCCUUUCU
rnacentral:rRNA from 1 species